UUUUUUUUUUUUUUUUUUAAUUAGAAGGUUGUUCUGUCAAAAGCUAUGACUUUUGCAUGUGCUCUUCUCUUAGGUCAGGCCAGUAUUAUCUUUUACUAAACCUUUUCUUAUUACACUUUGGAAAGAACAGUCCAUUGCCCAAUGUGAGAUGUAAAUGUUGUAAUCCUUUAAUGACACCCAAAUCCAUUUUGAUUUAGGAUAUGCAUUGCUUUAACACUGGCAAUGCAGCUCAGAAGACCUUUCUAAUAAACUACAUUACUUUAGAAUUGCAUGAUUUAAUGAUUAUCUUUUUUAUGUGUCAGUAAUUGGCAUAUACUAAAAUGACAAAAUAAAUGAUUGAAAAAGGGACAAAAAGAAUAAAGCAUUAAAAACAAUUUCAGUAUUUUGAAGAGUAUAGCAUAUGCUAAACAAAAUCAAGAAUGCUACUUUUAGCAUUUGCUAAAAGCAAGGGAGCUUUUAGCUUAAGAGAAAUAAUACGGUUGUGAACACUUUUCCUUUUGACAUGUGGAAUGAAAAGAAGAACAAUGCCACUGAGUUUCAGCUUUAACCUCCAGCUAUAACUUGCAGUUGCCUAGUUCCCACCCCCUACCUCUCUACAAAUCCACACAAUGUUCACUGUGCAAGUCACUUAUUCAUUUCCAGUACCGAAGCACGUAAGUGAUUAUUUCAUUUUCACUACCUCAAACUUGGUAAAAUAAAUUAGACAGGAGCAAAAUGCUUCCAUUCUUGCUUCAUCUAUGUGUUUUUUUCUCCCCACUGCAUUUGCUAGAGGCUGCAUAUGUGAAAAUUGUCAGCCUGUUACUUUAGAGUGACCGGGUAUCCUACACAGUCCUCCCCCAACGGAGAGGACUUCAGAUUCUUUAGUCACUCCUUUAACAGAUAUUUCAUGUCCAUUACCUUGGUAUUUUUCACAUGCCUCUAGAACUUCUCAUAUAAUUGAAGAUGAAAAUAUCUCUAUGAGUACAGUCUCUGCCGCUGGUGAAUGUUUGUCUACCCUUUCUGCCAAAAUGCAGCUCUAGGUAUAAGGUGAAGCAGGAUUACUGUGACUUUUAAGAAGUUUAUUUUGGAUGAAUAACAUUGCAGAAUGUAUUCCUGACAAAGGGUUAUCUGUGAAUUUUGACUAGCAUCCACUCCAUAUAUCAUUUGAGUCUGUUACAGUUCUCAACUAUUGUAGCUUGACUUUGGUUCCUAAUUUGAGUGGCUCCUGGGACAUUUUAUUUAUUUUUUCCUCUCAUGAGGUAUUUGUUCUGUACCUUUGUGUUAAUUGAAACAAUUGUCCUCCCAAUAAUGUUUAUAUUAAAAAGCUUUAGCAGCUUUUUAUUCCUUUUAUGUACUCAAAAAAAUACUUUUAUUCACAUUACUUACUUAUUAAUAGCUGUAUUUAGUGUAAAACAUCUUGGGGGGUUUUGGGUUUUUUCCGAGUUGCAGUUUGAAAGUUCAACCAUCUACAAGAUGAAGAUUAGAAGAGUGACCUAUAUUUGUAUUCCAUUAUCAUUUUCCUCUCUAUAGUAAAAGUAUAGUAAAUAAAAUCUGAGUAGCUCAAUUUUCUACAACAAAUAUAUUUCAAAAAGCUAAAGCAUUCUCAGCAUAGUACAAUAAAAUGUUUGUAAUAAAAGGACUAAAAUAGGCUUCUAUGAUGUCACCCAACAUACUAUGUUCCAGGAACAAUUUUUUUGGCUUUACCUCCUGAAUGGAGGAUGUUCUCUUUAUAUCAUGAUGAUGUUUAUAAUUGAGGCACAAAAAGCACACAAAUCAGUUUCAUAAUUCAGAUCAGAAAUUCUGUUAAUAUAAGAGUAUUAAAAAUGCCAGAGCGGAAAUCACUAUCUGUUUUUUUCUGAUGCUGACAGAAAAUCAAAUUAUAUAAGACACUUUUUAUCCUAACUAAGCUGUUGAAAACAAACACUGAUUGACUGACCUACCAUUUUUGCUUAGAACGUCUUCCAAAAAAAAAGCUCAAGAAGACUUUGGGAAAAUAUUAUAGUAUUACACCAAACAGAUGCUACAGUUUUUUAAAAUCCUCAAAAAUCCAACUCCCACUGAAAGUUAGCUGGAAGGAUUUUGUGAAGUGUAAGCAUGAACAGGAUAAAACUCAGACUCAUGACUUGGUUUUCCAUACAUUUUGAAAAUAUUUUUGCAGAACGAAAAGAAUUUUUACUAAACUCAAGACAUUUAAAUCUGGAAGCAAAAAAAACCCCAACAUUAUUUUGAUUGUGACAAAUUACACAAUCCAGAUUUGUAGCAACAUGUCUGUUUAGAAGUGCAUGUCAACAACCCAGUAAACUGUCAUCUAGUAAAUUGCAAAUGUGGUUAUUCUUCUUCUUUUUCUUCUUUGUACUUAUCCUGGUAAAUAGCUCAGAUUUAGGGCAUGUCUAACCUAAGCAUGGCAGGAGUCAGCCAUUUGGGCUAGAUGGAUGGAUGUAGGAUUCUGGAAUUAUCUCUGUUUUAGUUUUUUGGGGUUUUGUUGUUGUUGUUGUUGUUGUUGCUUGCUUGCUUUUUGUGGUUUUUUAUUUUAUUUUAUUUUAAUUUAAUUUAACUAUGCUAUUUACAAUCCCAAAACUGUUCUCAUAUUGUGUUAGUCACUAUAGACAAAUGUCUCUAGCUCAGGGCAGAUCACUUGGCAGCCUGGAUGUUAGCAAUCUUUCUCCUGUGCAGAAUUCCACUAAAAGCUGUUGGCAAAGCAUAUUUCCUGGGGUCAUACGUUCUAAACUUGAAGUCUUAUAUUUUCUUCUUACAAAGUCCUAAUUCUUCCAUUCUUUCUCAGUCCUAUUUGGCAUAGGUUCCUGCCUACUGUAUGUAUGUUAUGGCUGAGUGCUUAUCUUAAAUGCAGAGCAUUUUUGACAUUUCUGUACACAAAUUACUGAAACUAACAUUCCAUUCAGAUGAACUUUCUAUUUCUUUCCAUGAUUAGGUGUAAUUUUCAAACUUUUGGAAUGACAAUCCAAGCUUCUUUUUGAUUUUUGGCUCUUCACAUUGAUUGCUAUUUUGAUAGGCUUCUUCUAAACACAGUUUAUACUUGAAUCUAUUUUGUCUGGAUAAGUCACGGGUGCCAGUUAAAAAAAAGUGCAUUUCUCUGUCCCUCACUGAAUACAAUGACAUCAUUUGACAAUUCUUGGAACUGGGAAGUGACAACACUGGAAGAGACCAUGGUGGUGGUAAACUACAGGAGAAGACAGGGACUCCUUGGGUUCUCUUAACUGGCUUCUGAGCAGAAUCUAGCUUUGUCUCGAAGGCAAGAGAUCCUAUUUCCUUUGGAACUAGUAACCUAGAAAGAGCCACCACACUUAAUACUCAUGUUUCAAAUUACUACAGAUCCUACUGUUAGAUGCCUGUUCAGCCUUUCAAUUUCCUGCCUU
ensembl:lncRNA